GAUGAACGCUGGCAGAAUGCUUAACACAUGCAAGUCUUUGGCGAAGCUGUGCUUGCACAGCCUAGCCAAGGCGGACGGGUGAGUAACGCGUCAGGAACUUGCCCUGCAGUCAGGGAUAACAGACGGAAACGACUGAUAAGACCUGGUAAAGUCAGGCGGACUCAUGUCCAGCCUGAUGAAAAGAGAUGCUGCAGGAGAGCCUUGCGUCCUAUUAGCUUGUUGGUGGGGUAACGGCCCACCAAGGCGAUGAUGGGUAGCCGGCCUGAGAGGGUGGACGGCCACAAGGGGACAGAGAUACGGCCCUUACUCCUGCGGGAGGCAGCAGUGGGGAAUAUUGGACAAGGGGGGCAACCGUGAUCCAGAAAUUCUGUGUGCAAGAUGAAGGUUUUCGGAGUGUAAAGUGCUUUCAGCAGGGAAGAAAAAAAUGACGGUACCUGCAGAAGAAGCGACGGCUAAAUACGUG
rnacentral:rRNA from 1 species